CCCAACAGGUCCAACGGGUCCAACAGGUCCAGGUGUAGGGGCAACAGGCCCAACAGGACCAACCGGUCCGACUGGCCCAACAGGAAAUACUGGGAAUACAGGAGCAACAGGAUUAAGAGGUCCAACAGGAGCAACAGGGGCAACAGCCCAGAUCGUCAGCUAAGGUCCCUAAAUGUAAGUUAAGUGGUAAAGGAUGUGGGAUUGCACAGACAACCAGGAUGUUGGCUUAGAAGCAGCCACUCAUUCAAAGAGUGCGUAAUAGCU
rnacentral:rRNA from 1 species